CAGGCUUAACUCUGUAGUUGGGGGCUUCAUUUACAUUGAAAUUUUUGUCGUGCAAUUCGGCGUUGUCUGA
rnacentral:tRNA from 1 species